rnacentral:rRNA from 1 species
ACACCAAAUGCAGGCCACAGAAGGGCAUCUUAGGCCAUGGCCGACUCCAACCGAGCAACGCCGCACCAGUGCAGAAGGUUUUCCGAUCCAACAACUCUGCAGAAGAGACAAACCAGAGUCAGAGUGGAAAAUUCACACUGUGACGGAACCAUCCCAGAAAGGGACGACUAAAUACGUGCCAGCAGCCGAGGUAAUACGUAGGUCCCCAGCCUUCUCCGGAUUUAUUGGGCGUAAAGCGAGCGCAGGCGGUUAGAUAAGUCUGAAGUUAAAGGCUGUGGCUUAACCAUACUACGCUUUGGAAACUGUUUAACUUGAGUGCCAGAGGGGAGAGUGGAAUUCCAUGUGUAGCGGUGAAAUGCGUAGAUAUAUGGAGGAACACCGGUGGCGAAAGCGGCUCUCUGGCUUGUAACUGACGCUGAGGCUCGAAAGCGUGGGGAGCAAACAGG